GACGAACGCUGGCGGCGUGCUUAACACAUGCAAGUCGAACGGAAAGACCCUGCUUUUGUGGGGUGCUCGAGUGGCGAACGGGUGAGUAACACGUGAGUAACCUGCCCUUGACUUUGGGAUAACUUCAGGAAACUGGGGCUAAUACCGGAUAGGAGCUCCUGCUGCAUGGUGGGGGUUGGAAAGUUUCGGCGGUUGGGGAUGGACUCGCGGCUUAUCAGCUUGUUGGUGGGGUAGGGGCUUACCAAGGCUGUGACGGGUAGCCGGCCUGAGAGGGUGACCGGCCACAUUGGGACUGAGAUACGGCCCAGACGGCUACGGGCGGCAGCAGUGGGGAAUAUUGCGCAAUGGGCGGGAGCCUGAUGCAGCAACGCCGCGUGCGGGAUGACGGCCUUCGGGUUGUAAACCGCUUUCGCCUGUGACGAAGCGUGAGUGACGGUAAUGGGUAAAGAAGCACCGGCUAACUACGUG
rnacentral:rRNA from 1 species